GGCUCGUUGGUCUAGGGGUAUGAUUCUCGCUUCGGGUGCGAGAGGUCGUCCGGGUUCAAAUCCCCGGACGAGCCC